rnacentral:rRNA from 1 species
UGAGGAAUAUUGGUCAAUGGGCGAGAGCCUGAACCAGCCAAGUCGCGUGAAGGAAGACUGCCUUAUGGGUUGUAAACUUCUUUUAUACAGGAAUAAAAAGGCCUACGUGUAGGCCAUUGCAAGUACUGUAUGAAUAAGCAUCGGCUAACUCCGUGCCAGCAGCCGCGGUAAUACGGAGGAUGCGAGCGUUAUCCGGAUUUAUUGGGUUUAAAGGGUGCGCAGGCGGGCUUUUAAGUCAGCGGUGAAAUCUGGACGCUUAACGUCCAAACUGCCGUUGAAACUGGGAGUCUUGAGUAUGGAUGAAGUAGGCGGAAUUCGUUGUGUAGCGGUGACAUGCAUAGAUAUAACGAGGAACUCCGAUUGCGUAGGCAGCUUACUAAGCCAUAACUGACGCUCAUGCACGAAAGCGUGGGGAUCAAACAGGAUUAGAUACCCUGGUAGUCCACGCCGUAAAACGAUGAUUACUAGUUGUAUGCGAUAUGAUAGUAUGUGACUAAGCGAAAGCGAUAAGUAAUCCACCUGGGGAGUACGCCGGCAACGGUGAAACUUAAAUGAAUUGACGGGGUCAUAGCUGUUUCCUG